GAAUCCACGGGCGGACGUGUCUGUUUUCCUUCCUUCUCAGUUAGCGGCGGCGGGCACGCACGAGCGGCGUGUGCUACCAGCCGGUCUCCCGGCCGGAUUGUUAUUAGCUGACAAUGAGUUGAGAAGCCUCGCCGAAGUAGCUGGCGCGGCGGCGGCGGCGGCGGCGGCGAUCGCCGCUGGUGCCAGCGCGUCCGCGACGACCUUCGCUACGGUCCUUGACCGGCUCCUCCUCCCAGUCCCAGUCAUCAGGUUAUUUGAUUUGAAAUGCACCAUAGAAUAUGGAAGGAUCAAGGAAGGCUCCUUAAUUAAGCCGCUGAAGAGUUUUACCAUCGUUGUUUCAGUUUAAUUUAAUCACUUCCAAUAACUAUUUUUUUACUUUCCUGGCUUUUUUCCAACGUGUUUACCAACUGAUGAUGUUACAGUGCAACUGUGUCGUGACAAGAUACAAGGAUAGCUCAACUAUGCAAUGACUGGCAACUGAUUUUUUUAUUCUCAAGUGGCUGGUCUGCUGUCAAAAUUGUGUCUACAUCAUACCUCUGCAAAGUAAUACCGAUUGUUAUAUAUGGUCAUCAAAGUCUCCGACUCUCCUUUUUUUUUAUUCGAAAAUUUAACUAUAUGUAUUACUUUUUGGAAUGAAAUCGGCAUUAGUUUCACCAUCAGUUGUGUAAGCAGUCGGGAUCGACGACUCGAG
rnacentral:misc_RNA from 1 species